rnacentral:lncRNA from 1 species
CUGUAAUUACGACUAAGGUAUGAUAGUUGUAAAGUAACUGAUUAAAUCCCAUAGCAAAAUGUCCCUUGGUUGCAAGAAGUUUUUAAUGCCCCAUGUCCGAGUACAUGUUAGUCCGAAAUUGCCUCCUUGUUACACACCUGGAAUUUUAAUAGGUUUUAAUAUCUUUUACAGAUAACUCGGUUUACAUACAGUAUAUAUUUGUUGUACGGACACGGUCGAGAGACUCAGAACAUAACGAACUUUUGAAAUGAUUUAAACAUUCAUCGGUCGUCCUAAAUUCAUAUGCAGAUCUACACUGUAUUAAAAAUCUAAUGGUACACAAAGUACAAUAUUUUCCCCAUUCAGACCGGAAUCGCUUCUUAAGA